GACGAACGCUGGCGGCGUGCCUAAUACAUGCAAGUUGAGCGAUGAAGAUUGGUGCUUGCACCAAUUUGAAGAGCAGCGAACGGGUGAGUAACGCGUGGGGAAUCUGCCUUUGAGCGGGGGACAACAUUUGGAAACGAAUGCUAAUACCGCAUAACAACUUUAAACAUAAGUUUUAAGUUUGAAAGAUGCAAUUGCACCACUCAAAGAUGAUCCCGCGUUGUAUUAGCUAGUUGGUGAGGUAAAGGCUCACCAAGGCGAUGAUACAUAGCCGACCUGAGAGGGUGAUCGGCCACAUUGGGACUGAGACACGGCCCAAACUCCUACGGGAGGCAGCAGUAGGGAAUCUUCGGCAAUGGACGAAAGUCUGACCGAGCAACGCCGCGUGAAUGAAGAAGGUUUUCGGAUCGUAAAACUCUGUUGGUAGAGAAGAACGUUGGUGAGAGUGGAAAGCUCAUCAAGUGACGGUAACUACCCAGAAAGGGACGGCUAACUACGUG
rnacentral:rRNA from 1 species